rnacentral:rRNA from 1 species
UACAGAGGGGGCAAGCGUUGUUCGGAAUUACUGGGCGUAAAGGGCGCGUAGGCGGCCUGCUAAGUCGAACGUGAAAUCCCCGGGCUCAACCCGGGAACUGCGUCCGAUACUGGCAGGCUUGAAUCCGGGAGAGGGAUGCGGAAUUCCAGGUGUAGCGGUGAAAUUCGUAGAUAUUCGCAAGAACACCAGUGGCGAAGGCGGCUCACUGGCCCGGUACUGACGCUGAGGUGCGAAAGCGUGGGGAGCGAACAGG